UGACAGCGUUGCCUUUCUCCUGUUGAGU
rnacentral:piRNA from 1 species